GUGCAAACUUGGUUUUGUGCCUUUUUGUGAAAUUAAAUUUGAAAUGUGAUAAAUUUAUAAUUUUUAGGACGAGGCGUCAUCGUCGUCGUCAAAUAGCCGACGAAUUGACGUAGAACGACCCAUAUAUCUACCUAUAUUAGUAUUGAAUUCAACAUAACCUCAAAAUUCAAGGUCCUAUGUCUCCAAGAUUGAAGGUCAUGGUAAAAAAAUCUUAAAAUUCAAGGGCAUAAGGAAUUCAAGAGUGAAAUUUGAGUGGACAUGAAAGGCUGAGGUGAAUGAAGAAAGAAAUGUACAAAAUAAUGUCCCACGUUGAGAAACAAAAGGAUUCCAGAAUAAGGGAAGAACGGGAAAUCCGGGUAAAGUCAACUAUUCACCUGUUGGCUUUGUGGAGUGCGAAACUUAGUGAGGGAGUUCUCAGGAUGCAUGAAAGCCAACUCGUUAACUCCACUCGACGUCCCGUACUCGUUGGGGAUCAUAAGGAUGACAGGAGCAAAUAGUAAAAGCCCAUAAUUUUUAAUCAGA